rnacentral:misc_RNA from 1 species
AGCACCACCUGCAGUUGGCG